AGCGACCAGGACUGUCCAACACGCCCCCGAACUCCAGACAAUUGAGGAGUUGUCCAUCUGGGGACACACAGCAGUGAAAAGGACGUAGCCUUUCCUAAUCCCUGAAGAGCUCUUCCGCAGGUACUCUGAAGGGCAAUUCCACCAGAAUGUACAUUCCAUGACAUCUGGGACUUUGAUGCAUUGCCCCAGACGAUAAUACCAGUACCUACAGCAUGUUCACCUAA